rnacentral:tmRNA from 1 species
CUUCAAAAGCCUUUCUUAUAUAGCUAUAUUGUAGGAGUCGUUUAACGACUAUAGCGAUAAACGCUUUAUGUAAUAGGCGUAGCGGACCCGGGGGCAGUACCCGGCGCCUCCACCAUAAGCCGAGACAUGGUUUUUUCCUAGUUUGGGCGGCUUCUGUUGGGGGCGAAUCAGGAUCGACGCGCGCAUUAAAGAUAUAGUCUUCGCUCGGCAUGGUACCGCCGUUAUCGGACCAGGCAUAAAACUGCCAAUGACAACUAUGCGGGCGAAGCCCGCCUUGCUGCCUAGCAAUAGGUGAGCGCGGUUCGGGGAGCACCGGGCAACAGAAGCUCCCCAC